GCCGCGUUCGUCUAGCCUGGUCUAGGACGCCGGCUUUUCACGCCGGUAACACGGGUUCAAAUCCCGUACGCGGUACCA
rnacentral:tRNA from 2 species